rnacentral:rRNA from 1 species
AUGGACUUCAAGCUCCUCCAAGAAUGCCCAUAUGCUUAUUAUGUCCAUUGUUAUGUCCAUCGCUUGCAAGAGUGUCUCCAACAGCUAAGAUCAGAUGAUGGCUACCAAGAAUUUGUUGUCACGGUUGUUGAUUUCUGUACAAACUAUUCCAUUGUCAUUCUAGACUUUGAGGAAGCUUACAUCAUGUAUGGUGGUCGUGCCCGUCAUCAACCCAAUCAGCUGACCAAGGAGCAUUACUUCCGAGUCGAAAUAUUCUAUGCAACACUUGAAACUCAACUAUUUGAACUAAAUCAUAGGUUCAAUGAGAAGGUCGUGGAUCUUCUAACCACUAGUGCCACCUUGAUUCCUAGAAAAAAAAUUAGAGGAUUUAAAGCUAGUGAUAUGUGUGACAUGGUGAAAAAGUACUACCCAUCAGACAUACCCCAACAAGAUAUCUAUGGAUUACAACUACAACUAAGACAUUUUGUUUUGGAUGCUUCCAAGGAUGAAUAUAUGAAAAAUAUAUCAAACUUGAUUGAUCUUUGUCGAUGCCUUGUGGAGUCAGGGAGACAUGUUGUCUUCAGUUUGAUUGAAAUAUUACUCUGUUUGCUCAUUACCCUUCUCGUUUCUACGGCGAGUGCUGAGCGUGCAUUUUCUAGUAUGAAGAUCAUUACAAGGUUGCACAAUACAAUGGAGGAUGACUUUCUUGCCAAUAACUUGUUAGUUAACAUAGAUGGUGACAUUCUGGAGAAGUACAACUAUGAAGAUAUCAUUGAAUAUUUCAAAUGCGUGAAGGAACGGAAAGCUGAUUUGUCGUAUGUAACUCCACACAACCAUGCCUGA